GGACUACUGGGGUAUCUAAUCCUGUUUGAUCCCCGCACUUUCGAGCCUCAGUGUCAGUUAUAGUUUCGUCAGCUGCCUUCGCAAUCGGUGUUCUAUGACAUCUCUAUGUAUUUCACCACUACAUGUCAUAUUCCGCCAACGGCAACUAUACUCAAGCCAUACAGUAUCAAUGGCAAUUUCUCAGUUAAGCUGAGAGAUUUCACCACUGACUUAUUUGGCCACCUACGCUCCCUUUAAACCCAAUGAAUCCGGAUAACGCUUGCAUCCUUCGUCUUACCGCGGCGGCUGGCAC
rnacentral:rRNA from 1 species